CGCUUAAAGUUCACUCUCCUCAGACCUCACCAUCUCAGUUCUCUCUCCUCUCUUUUUCUCUCCUUCUCCCUCUUCUCUUCCUCAAAGACGAAGGCAACCAUCGCCGCAGCUGCAACAACAUCCACAACCACCGUCGUUCACAAAUUAAAUUCUCUCUCUUUCUUCUCCACCCUCAUUCACUGAUGGUUACGGUGGUGAUGGUGGUCGCGAGUGAUAACGACAGUGCGGUUCGAUUUUUAGGGUUUUGAUUGGUGUUCAUGGGUUUCGAUUUGUAACUGUUGGCGGUGGUGAAGAGCAGCGACGGUGAGUUUUGAUUUGUAAUUUAUGGCCGUGGUGGAGAGUUGCUGAACUAACGUCACUCAAACUCCAGCUUCGUGCCCUGAUCUUUGAAAUGCAGACACAAAUUGCUGUUUCAGUAGCUAACCUUCUCAGCCAAUGUGCGGAGGCUGCUUUGCCAAAUCAGAAACGAAGUAUAGCAGCGACAGAAUUCAAGCAGGCAAAGGUUGAUUAUAAGAGACGCGCCAAAACUUAGCUGGAAGAAAAAGGUAGCAUUUGCUGAGAUCAAAUGUCUAAAAUAGACAUUAAAGCAUUUAGAAUUCUGCUAUGAAAGGAUCUAGGAACCCUGUCAGUUGGUCAAUGUGUCCUUAAAUUGUUGUUAAGUCUUCGAAAUUGAUUGAUCGUUUCUACGAGCUACCUGUUGAGGAGAGAUCUUUCACCAAGUUGACCUAGCCUAAAGCGGCUAUCCAUAUUGAGGAUUUAGAGGAGGGAAAUUAUGAAAGUGAAGCUGCCCUAGUCAUGUCUGCUGGAUGAUGUAGGUGUAAACAAAUGCUUGAGCACAUCAACGAUUGCUAUGACAGGAGUUGGACUCGAUUAAGGAAACUUUGAACACUGAGUUGCAAAGAGCUCCAGCAGCAUUCAGCAUCAUCAAGUACUAGUAAAAUAGGUGGAUACUGAAGUUGAAGAAGGUGCUUCCCGAAUUGCUUUUUUUGAGAAAUUGGAGAAGCGGGAAAAAGAAAUGAUAAUGCGGUCCAAACAAUUGCUGAAAAUAUGGUUUGGGGGACAAAAUGAUUUAGUUUUAACAUUUUAAUUGUUUUUUUCUUAGUUUAACUAGUGAUAAUUUAAUUUUGUAAAUUUUCUUAUAGAUAACAAUGUACAAACUUUUAAUCUAUAUUAUUAAAUUCUGAUUUUUUUUAAA